GAUGAACGCUGGCGGCGUGCCUAAUACAUGCAAGUCGAGCGCGAGAGUGAGGAGCUUGCUCCUCAUAAUCGAGCGGCGGACGGGUGAGUAACACGUAGGCAACCUACCCUUGAGAUUGGGAUAACUACCGGAAACGGUAGCUAAUACCGGAUACGACUUUUCCACACAAGUGGAAUGGUUAAAAGGCGGAUUUAUCUGCCGCUCAUGGAUGGGCCUGCGGUGUAUUAGCUAGUUGGUGAGGUAGUGGCUCACCAAGGCGACGAUGCAUAGCCGACCUGAGAGGGUGAUCGGCCACACUGGGACUGAGACACGGCCCAGACUCCUACGGGAGGCAGCAGUAGGGGAUCUUCCGCAAUGGACGCAAGUCUGACGGAGCAACGCCGCGUGAGUGAUGAAGGGUUUCGGCUCGUAAAACUCUGUUGUUGAGGAAGAACACUUGAGGUAGUAACUGGCCUUGAGAUGACGGUACUUAACCAGAAAGCCACGGCUAACUACGUGCCAGCCGCCGCCGUAA
rnacentral:rRNA from 1 species